ACUACGUUGAUAGGUCAUAGGUGUAGAGGCAGCAAUGUCUUAGCCGAGUGAUACUAAUUACCCGUAAGCCUAG
rnacentral:rRNA from 1 species